rnacentral:sRNA from 1 species
GCUGGGCAUAGUGAUGCACACCUGUAAUCCCAGGGGCUUGGGAGGCUGAGGCAGGAGGAUCGCAAGUUCAAAGCCAGCCUCAGCUAAAGUGAGGUGCUAAGUAACUUGGUGAGACCCUGUCUCUA